UACGUAGGGGGCAAGCGUUGUCCGGAAUCAUUGGGCGUAAAGAGUGUGUAGGCGGCCCGGUAAGUCCGCUGUGAAAGUCCAGGGCUCAACCCUGGGAUGCCGGUCGAUACUGCCGGACUAGAGUUCGGAAGAGGCGAGUGGAAUUCCCGGUGUAGCGGUGAAAUGCGCAGAUAUCGGGAGGAACACCUAUGGCGAAGGCAGCUCGCUGGGACGUUACUGACGCUGAGACGCGAAAGCGUGGGAAGCAAACAGG
rnacentral:rRNA from 1 species